CCGUGCUCAACUGGGGCUGGAUGAGGAGGGAGUGCAUUUUUUUCAGCUGUUCAGCUUCAAACCGCCUUCGGAUCUGGUUCGCUGAGCUUUCACUUCUGUCCACAAGGGAGCACCUCUGCCGGCAGUACUCGAGGAUAUUACACCAGCAAGAAAGGUCCCUCUGGAUGCUUCCCUUCCCUCCAAUG